UAAAUUCUAAGUAUUUGAGACAUUUAAUAGAUUGGUGACAAUUUACUUAACUACUCAGCUUUGACUCCCUUGCAGUGACCGACCAUGAGCUGCGUUGUGAUGUUAAGGUUGAUGUGAUCGACAGCAUUGAAAUUGUAUCUCGAACCCGAGAGCUGUAUGUGGACGAUGCACCCCUGGAACUGAUGGUGAGGGCCCUGGAUGCUAAAGGAAACACGUUUAGUACUUUGGCGGGCAUGGUGUUUGAGUGGAGCAUUGCCCAGGAUAAUGAGUCGGGAAGAGAAGAGCUGUCGAGCAAAAUUAGGAUCCUGAAAUUCUCGGAGGCAGAGUACUCUCCCCCUGACUACAUAGCUGAGAUGGAGAAAGGGGAGCAGCAAGGAGACGUGAUCCUGGUGUCUGGGAUGAGAACUGGAGCUGCUGUUGUGAAAGUCCGAAUCUACGAGCCAUUCUACAAGGUAAAU
rnacentral:lncRNA from 1 species